rnacentral:rRNA from 1 species
UUGGAGGGCAAGUCUGGUGCCAGCAGCCGCGGUAAUUCCAGCUCCAAUAGCGUAUAUUAAAGUUGCUGCAGUUAAAAAGCUCGUAGUUGAAUUUCGGGACUAAUAUGUCGGUCGUGCCUCGGUACGUACUGGUAUUUUUGGUUUCUCCCUUCUGACGAACCUUGAUGUCAUUAAUUUGGUGUCUUGGGAAAUCAGGACUGUUACCUUGAAAAAAUUAGAGUGUUUAAAGCAGGCUCACGCUUGAAUACAUUAGCAUGGAAUAAUGAAAUAGGACGUUUGAUUCUAUUUUGUUGGUUUCUAGGACCGACGUAAUGAUUAAUAGGGAUAGUUGGGGGCAUUAGUAUUCAAUUGUCAGAGGUGAAAUUCUUGGAUUUAUUGAAGACUAACUACUGCGAAAGCAUUUGCCAAGGAUGUUUUCAUUAAUCAAGAACGAAAGUUAGGGGAUCGAAGACGAUCAGAUACCGUCGUAGUCUUAACCAUAAACUAUGCCGACUAGGGAUCGGAUGAUGUUAAUUUUUUAAUGACUCAUUCGGCGCCUUACGGGAAAC